rnacentral:rRNA from 1 species
UAAUGUCUGGGAAACUGCCUGAUGGAGGGGGAUAACUACUGGAAACGGUAGCUAAUACCGCAUAACGUCGCAAGACCAAAGAGGGGGACCUUCGGGCCUCUUGCCAUCGGAUGUGCCCAGAUGGGAUUAGCUAGUAGGUGGGGUAACGGCUCACCUAGGCGACGAUCCCUAGCUGGUCUGAGAGGAUGACCAGCCACACUGGAACUGAGACACGGUCCAGACUCCUACGGGAGGCAGCA